rnacentral:rRNA from 1 species
AUAGCGUAUAUUAAAGUUGUUGCAGUUAAAAAGCUCGUAGUUGAAUUUUAGGCCCGGUUGGAUGGUCUGCUCUAGGGUUUGUACUGUCCUGACUGGGUCUUCCCUUCUGGUGAGCUGUCGUGCUGUUUAUUCAGUGCGGCAGGGAACCAGGACUUUUACUUUGAAAAAAUUAGAGUGUUUAAAGCAGGCAUUCGCUUGAAUACAUUUGCAUGGAAUAAUAGAAUAGGACUUUGGUUCUAUUUUGUUGGUUUCUAGGACCGAAGUAAUGAUUAAUAGGGAUAGUUGGGGGCAUUAGUAUUUAAUCGUCAGAGGUGAAAUUCUUGGAUUUAUGAAAGACUAACUUCUG